AUACUAACACGAGUCCGAUAGCGAACAAGUACCGUGAGGGAAAGUUGAAAAGUACUUUGAAGAGAGAGUAAACAGUACGUGAAACCGCUCAGAGGUAAACGGGUGGAGUUGAACUGUGAUCUCUGUGAAUUUAGCUGGUGAGCAUGGUUUGAGCUUGGUCAAAUUGGUUGUUACUCGGGGUCUGCUUAGCAGCAGGUCUUCGCCUUUGGUGGAGAUGCGCGAGGCACUUGUCAGGUGUUGCGCGCCUCAUGUAAUUCAGGCCAGCUUGCCAGUGCACUUUCACAGAGUGUUCACCACGACCGGCAUCGCUGUCCGGCUGGUGUGGUUAAACCGGUCUUGCAUUGUCCUCGUGGCUUUGCUUGGUCGGGAUGGCAGGUAGCCCUUGAGCUUGCUCGCAGCUUGCUGUGGGUUCAGGUCCUUGAGUGUAAUCAGCUGACCACAUCGGUUCUGUGCAGUAUGUCGGAGACGGCGGCUUGUGGUGUGUGCGUGCG
rnacentral:rRNA from 1 species